GUAUUAUCAUGAGUUCCCUUCAAACACUUCACGUGACAUGUUUUUAAGGUUUACCGUGAAGUGUUUGGGGGAACUCUCGGUACCAC
rnacentral:pre_miRNA from 1 species